UACGGAGGGUGCAAGCGUUAAUCGGAAUUACUGGGCGUAAAGCGCGCGUAGGCGGUUUGAUAAGUCGAUUGUGAAAUCCCCGGGCUCAACCUGGGAAUUGCAGUCGAGACUGUCAGACUAGAGUGUGGGAGAGGGUGGUGGAAUUCCCGGUGUAGCGGUGAAAUGCGUAGAUAUCGGGAGGAACAUCAGUGGCGAAGGCGACCGCCUGGCCCAACACUGACGCUGAGGUGCGAAGGCCAGGGGAGCAAACGGG
rnacentral:rRNA from 1 species